rnacentral:lncRNA from 1 species
GUCGGGCAAUCGCGGCUAUCGAUACCCUUCUGGGUAAUCUGUAAAACAUUGACUGUUUUGUACGAACAUUUACUAUCUGCUUUGACCGUCCUUCGCGACGCCCUUUCUAUUUAUUGCCUUUCUUAUUUCCGAUGGGACGUAUCCUUACCAAAUUUCCACGCCUCUUUUUCCUAUAAGUACCGGCCUAGGCACUUCCUCCCGAUAGUACCAGUUUGGCUUUCGGUUCUACUCUCUUACUCCUCUCGUCGGC